UAUUGCACAAUGGGCGAAAGCCUGAUGCAGCGACGCCGCGUGAGUGAAGAAGUAUCUCGGGAUGUAAAGCCCCAUCAGCAGGGAAGAAAAUGACGGUACCUGACUAAGAAGCCCCGGCUAACUACCUGCCAGCAGCCGCGGUCAUACGUAGGGGGCAAGCGUUAUCCGGAUUUACUGGGUGUAAAGGGAGCGUAGACGGAAAGGCAAGUCAGAAGUGAAAGCCCAAGGCUCAACCAUGGGACUGCUUUUGAAACUGUCAAACUAGAGUACGGGAGAGGUAAGAGGAAUUCCUAGUGUAGCGGUGAAAUGCGUAGAUAUUAGGAGGAACACCAGUGGCGAAGGCGUCUUACUGGACCGAAACUGACGUUGAGGCUCGAAAGCGUGGGGAGCAAACAG
rnacentral:rRNA from 1 species